rnacentral:pre_miRNA from 1 species
CAGGCAUGGUGCGGUGGGGCAGCUGGUGUUGUGAAUCAGGCCGUGACCAAUCGGAAAACGGCUACUUCACAACACCAGGGUCGCACCCCACCCCAGG